UACGUAGGGAGCGAGCGUUGUCCGGAUUCAUUGGGCGUAAAGAGCUCGUAGGCGGCUUGGUAAGUCGGAUGUGAAACCUCCAGGCUCAACCUGGAGUCGCCAUCCCGAUACUGCCAUGGCUAGAGUCCGGUAGGGGCCCACGGAAUUCCUGGUGUAGCGGUGAAAGUGCGCAGAUAUCAGGAGGAACACCGAUGGCGAAGGCAGUGGGCUGGGCCGGCACUGACGCUGAGGAGCGAAAGCGUGGGGAGCGAACAGG
rnacentral:rRNA from 1 species